CCAAGUGGUGACGAAGCUGGGUUUCUUAAUCCCAUUGGCUGAAGGCUGUUCCUGAUGGAGAGUUUCCUGGCACCUCCGCCCCGCCCCCCCCCCCCCCCCCCCACUGUGUGUGCAGAUGGAGAGGCCCCCAGCCAUUGGAGAGAGCCCUGAGGUCAAGAGAUGCAGGUGCUGGCAGCUAGCACAGGGUCAUGAUAGGGAUGCGAGCAGCACCUGCCACAAUACCAAAUGGGCAGAUGGACCCACAUCUGUAGCUCAGUCUUUCAAGAAAUGUCAUCAUCACAUUCCUGUCUUAAGAUGAGGAAAUGGAGCCAAAUGGAAAGCUGACUGUUAAGACCAGUUUGUCACUUUUGGGAAACACUUGGCGAGGAAUACCCCCCAUAUGCCAAGCCCUUGAGGCCUGCCCCUGGCUUGCACUGAAGAGGCUCUCCCAUGCUGGCGAUCUGCAGGCGCUCCAGGGGGAAUGUACGACACGAAAUGAUCAAUCAUGAAACCAUUUUACUGUCAUUAAAACCUCUUUGUGAGUGAUCACUGUUCUUUCUUCAUAUGAGAUAAAAAU
rnacentral:lncRNA from 12 species